rnacentral:rRNA from 1 species
CCAGCCUGCCGCGUGUGUGAAGAAGGUCUUCGGAUUGUAAAGCACUUUAAGUUGGGAGGAAGGGCAGUAACCUAAUACGUUGCGGUCUUGACGUUACCGACAGAAUAAGCACCGGCUAACUCUGUGCCAGCAGCCGCGGUAAUA